rnacentral:rRNA from 1 species
CUAAACAUAGAUUUUUUUCAUACCCAAAAAUCCGCCAGAGUACUACUAACCACACAUUUGAAACUCAAAGGACUUGACGGUGCCUCAAACCCAACUAGAGGAGCCUGUUCUAUAAUCGAUUAUCCACGAUUUACCUCACCACCCUUAGCCCACAGCCUAUAUACCUCCGUCUUCAGCCUACCCUGUGAAAGUAUAAAAGUAGGCACAAUAGUCAACAAGCUACUAACUCAGUUCCAGGUGUAGCUACUCCUAUGGUGGACGUAAUGGGCUACAUUUUCUAAGCUAGAAACAACUAUUCUACGGAAGGGCACUUUGAAACAGGGACCCGAAGCAAGCAGGAUUUAGCAGUAAUGUA